AGAGACGCCUAAGUGUUUGUUGUAGCAUGAAUCUCGCUGAACGGUAUCGUAGGUAGGUGAGAGGGGAGACGCCUAAGUGUUUGUUGUAGCAUGAAUCUCGCUGAACGGUAUCGUAGGUAGGUGAGAGGGGAGACGCCUAAGUGUUUGUUGUAGCAUGAAUCUCGCUGAACGGUAUCGUAGGUAGGUGAGAGGGGAGACGCCUAAGUGUUUGUUGUAGCAUGAAUCUCGCUGAACGGUAUCGUAGGUAGGUGAGAGGGGAGACGCCUAAGUGUUUGUUGUAGCAUGAAUCUCGCUGAACGGUAUCGUAGGUAGGUGAGAGGGGAGACGCCUAAGUGUUUGUUGUAGCAUGAAUCUCGCUGAACGGUAUCGUAGGUAGGUGAGAGGGGAGACGCCUAAGUGUUUGUUGUAGCAUGAAUCUCGCUGAACGGUAUCGUAGGUAGGUGAGAGGGGAGACGCCUAAGUGUUUGUUGUAGCAUGAAUCUCGCUGAACGGUAUCGUUGGUAGGUGAGAGGGGAGACGCCUAAGUGUUUGUUGUAGCAUGAAUCUCGCUGAACGGUAUCGUAGGUAGGUGAGAGGGGAGACGCCUAAGUGUUUGUUGUAGCAUGAAUCU